AAUCGAUCUGUUGGAGCUGAACUUGCUUUGCUUAGUGACAUCUGCUGUCCCUGACUCUUCAGUGUGCCUUCAGCAUCACAGGGUCCUACAGUCCAUUGCUGUGUCCCUGCUCUCCUCCUUGGAUGAGAAAAUUAGGCAACCUGUGUUCAUUAUUCUCUUGAUUGACUUCAAUUGUAUCUCUGUGUAUUCCAGAAAAUGCUUAUAUGGAAAUGAUCUCUGUGAAUAGUGUGAAGUGGGCUUCCCUGGUGGCUCAAAUGGUAAAAAAUCUGCCUAUAAUGUGGGAGAGGAAGAUCCACAGGAGAAGGGAAUGGCAACCAACUCCAGUAUUCUUUCCUGGACAACUCCAUGGACAGAGGAUCCUGGAUAACCUCAGCUGUCUUCAAAACUUUGUCUGUCGUUCGAUCCUUCCGCCAGAUUCCUCAUGUUUGACUGCAAGAUUUCUGGGUACAGGUGUUUUAUACCUGAAAAUGAUGUUCGGGAUGGCAGUCACUUCUGGAGAGGUGACCACUUCUCUCAUAAUUUUGGUGAUGGUUUUUGUUUUUGUAAGAGAACUAGGAAACAAAGGGAGAAAGGAGGUGUUUCCUCCUAGCCCAUGGUCCCUCUCCAUCGUGGAAAAUCU
ensembl:lncRNA